GGGACGUGCACAGGUAGAGACGAAGGGAGACCAGCCACGCGUGUUGGUGGUGUGAAACAGCUUCAUGUGAUAUUACCAUUGCAAAUUUGGGCGAAGACCAUUUCUCACUUCCCUCUCUUCGUUUUCUCUCACAUUUCAUUACUCUAUCAAAUCUCGGCCUCCAGCGAUCUAAACCGAAGCACGAAACCCAGCCGAUUUCUCUGCAUCUGAAUCGGAACCGGAAUAGCGAGUUAGAGCUCUGUACGUUGCAAAAACCAUUUGAAGUCAUUUCUGUGACCUUCUCCCAGUUGCGGUGGUCCUAUUACUUGGUUUAGAAAGAGGUGUGUUAAAUGGGUAUUGUGGGUAAGAAACUGAAAUUGAAAAAUGAAGGAAGAUCAAAAAGAAGAAGGGGACCUGUUCUGUUGUGCUUGUGCGUUGAUGUGGGAGGCGAGGGAAGAAGAAGAUGGUUUUCUGAUGGGAUAAAAUGAGGGAGAGGAAAAAAAGAAAAGAAGAAAAGUAUGUUCAUGCGGGUAGGAAACAGUUUCACCACUGUGUAAUGUCAGUGGGUGGGAUCCACAGCUUUGACAAAAAGUUGAGUUAAAAAGAUGAGAUAUGUGAUUGAGUUUUUAAACCAAACAGGAGUUUUGGGGUUUUUCAGUGAAAGUGGGAUUUGAGUUAUGAGUGAUGAGUUUUGAGUUCUAGUUAUGAGUUUUGAAAACUGAGUUAAGAAAACUAAGUGAUGGGGAAACCAAACGGACCCUUACUCACUCAGAUUAACCUUUUGCUCUCUCACUCACAAUUCUCUUAUUUCCUCCCUCCCUCUAUCCCUUGCUCUCUCUUUUUCUCACUCUCAACUCAUACAAACUCAUAGCAGAACGAAGAGAAUCAUAUGUUAUAAUGGAGGAUGACACAUUGCAAUAUGUCAAAAACGGAGUGAACUCUUAUGAAGUCAUCCAAGUUCUCGUAAGUAUUGAUAGUAUCUCAUCAUUUAAGCUAAGGCUUAAUCAACCAAACAAGCUACUUCAAGAAUUACUCUGUUUCAGCCAUCGUACCGUAUCUUAAAAUUGGUUGAAAUGGGUGAUAAGGAACGAGCAUCCAAGAUUCACUUCUUGGAAAAAGAAUGCAAAGAAAAUGUUUCUAUGGCUACCGAAGGGUCAAAUAUUUUGAAGGUACAUGUGUGUUUCCCAACCGACAAAGGUUUUGCGAUUAUACUUACAAGUUGCCGGUUUUUAUUGUUUGUACUAAGAAACUAUCGGGCUUUUCACAAUGGAUUUGAAGAACCCAUGGCUGCCUUUCAUUCUUAGAGAAACAUUAAAAAAUUUGUGUGGCAUUCAUGUACGGUGCGCCCACCAUGGCUCUGUUGAUGCUCUCAAAGUUUUAACAAAGCCAUGAUGGGUGUACCAUCACACAAGGUUUUUAAAGGCAGCUAUGAAUUCUUCAAAUUCAUUGUGAAAAGUUCUGUAGUUUCUUAGCACAAAUAAUGAAAAUCGGCAACUUGAAAGUAUAAUCGAAAAACAUUUGUCGGUUGUGAAAUACACAUGCAUCUUUAAAAUAUUUGAGCCUUCGGUAGCCAUAGAAAUGUUUUCUCUGUAUUCUUUUUCCGAGAAGUAAAUCUUGGAUGCUUGUUCCUUAUCACCCGAUUCAACCAAUUUUAAGAUACGGUACAAUGGCUGAAACGGAGUAAUUCUUGAAGAUGGCUUGUUUGGCUGAUUAAGUCUUAGCUUAAAUGAUGAGAUGCUAUCAAUACUUACGAGAGCUUGGACGACUUCAUGUUCACUCCGUUUUUGACAUAUUGCAAUAUGUCAUCCUCCAUUAUAACAUAUGAUUCUCUUCGUUCUGCUAUGAGUUGAGAGGGAGAAAAGGAGAGAGAGCAAGGGAUAGAGGGAGGGAGGAAAUAACGCCAAGCAAGAACGCCGGUGUGUUGGUAAAGGGCAAAGCUAAAGUUUCAAAAACUUUCAAGAAAGUAAAAACAAUUCUUGGAGCAAAGAAGAAGACGAAAGCCCAUUUGACAAUAGAGUAGAUCAUUUGCAAAAAUGAUGCAUGGAAGAAGAUCUGAAGGAUAGACCAGCAGUCCAAGACCUCAGCAAGCAUCUCAAGGGCUUAAUUAAGCAACAUGAGUUUCUUGUAAGAGAAGUAAUAGCUCAAGAAUCUAUGCCACACCAUUCAUAGGCCCGGUCUAGCAAUUGCAAGUCGAAAGUUCAGAAAUAUGAAAACAUCUUCUCUUUCUUUUUUGUUCUUUUUUAAUGAAGAAAUCUCUUAGCUUAGGAAAUCUUUGUCGUAGCUUGUGAAUUUUUUUUCUUCAAUUUGCCAUUUUUUAGCUUUCUUUUUUUUUAAUAAAAACUUUGGUUUUUAGAGGGGGAGAAAAAAAAACAACGUGAUGUACAGUGUAUUGCUGUUUUGCUUAUUAAUUUUUGUUGAACCUGCCAAGACAGAGAGCAUGAGAAUUCUAUUUUUCUUGUUUGAUUCAACAAGUUGAAUACACUGUAGCACCACUGCACAGUGCACACCUCACCCUCA